UGGGGAAUUUUGGACAAUGGGCGCAAGCCUGAUCCAGCCAUGCCGCGUGCGGGAAGAAGGCCUUCGGGUUGUAAACCGCUUUUGUCAGGGAAGAAAUCUUCUGAGUUAAUACCUCGGGAGGAUGACGGUACCUGAAGAAUAAGCACCGGCUAACUACGUGCCAGCAGCCGCGGUAAUACGUAGGGUGCAAGCGUUAAUCGGAAUUACUGGGCGUAAAGCGUGCGCAGGCGGUUUUGUAAGACAGAGGUGAAAUCCCCGGGCUCAACCUGGGAACUGCCUUUGUGACUGCAAGGCUUGAGUGCGGCAGAGGGGAUGGAAUUCCGCGUGUAGCAGUGAAAUGCGUAGAUAUGCGGAGGAACACCGAUGGCGAAGGCAAUCCCCUGGGCCUGCACUGACGCUCAUGCAUGAAAGCGUGGGGAGCAAACAGGAUUAGAUACCCUGGUAGUCCACGCCCUAAACGAUGUCAACUGGUUGUUGGGAAGGUUCCUUCUCAGUAACGUAGCUAACGCGUGAAGUUGACCGCCUGGGGAGUACGGCCGCAAGGUUGAAACUCAAAUGAAUUGACGGGGU
rnacentral:rRNA from 1 species